rnacentral:rRNA from 1 species
CCCUUAGAUGUUCUGGGCCGCACGCGCGCUACACUGUUUGAUUCAGCGAGUCUUAACCUUGACCGAACGGUUUGGGUAAUCUUCUAAAGUCAAACGUGAUGGGGAUCGAUCAUUGCAAUUAUUGAUCGUGAACGAGGAAUUCCUAGUAAAUGCAAGUCAUCAGCUUGCGUUGAUUACGUCCCUGCCCUUUGUACACACCGCCCGUCGCUACUACCGAUUGAAUGGUUUAGUGAGAUCUCCGGAUUGGCUCUGUAGGUCCCGCAAGGGAUUUAUUAGUAGCCAAGAAGCUGCUCAAACUUGAUCAUUUAGAGGAAGUAAAAGUCGUAACA